UACAGAGGUCUCAACCGUUGUUCGGAUUCAUUGGGCGUAAAGGGUGCGUAGGCGGUCGCGUAAGUCAGGUGUGAAAUCCCGGGGCUCAACCCCGGAACUGCACUUGAUACUGCGUGGCUAGGGUACUGGAGAGGAGACUGGAAUUUACGGUGUAGCAGUGAAAUGCGUAGAUAUCGUAAGGAAGACCAGUGGCGAAGGCGGGUCUCUGGGCCGAUACUGACGCUGAGGAGCGAAAGCGUGGGGAGCGAACAGG
rnacentral:rRNA from 1 species